rnacentral:rRNA from 1 species
UACGUAGGGUGCGAGCGUUGUCCGGAAUUAUUGGGCGUAAAGGGCUCGUAGGCGGUUUGUCGCGUCGGGAGUGAAAACCCAGGGCUUAACUCUGGGCUUGCUUUCGAUACGGGCAGACUAGAGGUAUGCAGGGGAGAACGGAAUUCCUGGUGUAGCGGUGAAAUGCGCAGAUAUCAGGAGGAACACCGGUGGCGAAGGCGGUUCUCUGGACCGUAACUGACGCUGAGGCGCGAAAGCGUGGGGAGCAAACAGG